ACCGCGAUAUCUCGAUGCGCUGGCCGGUGUAAGCGCUUGCUCGUCCGGCCCGAUGUAUCAGGAUCGUUCGGCGACAUCGUAAUUGUA
rnacentral:sRNA from 1 species